UAUAUUAGGCGAGUACACUCACCAAUAUAUCUUUUUGACAUAAACCCUUUUUGAUCCUCAUUUAUUAUAGACUGACUGACUGACUGAGUUUGGUUUUACGCCGCUUUUAGC